GGAUGUUGUACCUAGUGAAGAAGAAGCCCUGCUCCCAGGAGCCUUUCUUCACCUGAGGCAUUUCAUUUCUACUUCAGAUAUCUUACAAAUUAAAGACCUUAAAGACCUGGGGUUUGAGUUUUACUUAGUGAUACUGUAUUUGCUUAGGAAAAUCAAGGUUCUCAGUUCAUUCCACAGCACUGGAAACAAAAGGUUUCAGAUGAAGCAAGUGACACAUCAUGAUUGCAUUUGAAUCCAAACUCAUAAACUUCUUAAGUACUGGAACAAAUAUGAAAAUCAAAAAGACAGAGAAAGUCAUUAUGCUAACAUUGGAAAAUUUUAGAAACAAAUCACAAUGAUGAUAAGUAUAUACAAUUUUCGUAGAUGGGAUCUUGCAAAAAUGUACAAACAGAAUGAAUGAUUCCAGAGACUAAUUCAGGAAAGCCUUAAUCUUGACAUUAAAUGCUGAAUUAGAGUAUGCCUCAUUUUCUCCAGUUGAAUGCAGGGGGUGAUAUAUAGACAGUAUUUAAAGAAUCUAUAAACCCUCUCACUAAAGUGCUACUUUCUAGAUUUACAUAUGAAUAGUAUGGAAUAGAAUUUAUGUGCAAAGGACCAUGUAGCCUACCAAAGAGAGUCAAAGAAAUUACUUUGAGAUGAUUUGACUUUUCUUAACACUUUUGCAAUAUAGACAUCCUUCCAAAUGCAAAGCACAGAAGUGAAAGAUCAGAAGUCACCCAGAAAACAAGAUGUAGGCAGAAUACAAGAAGAAUGGCUGUGUGAGUCUGAGAAGACAAAUAAGAGUAACUUGGCAAUUCAGAUUUCUAUAUGUAAUCUUCACUGUCCUGGAAUUUACUGAGUAGAAAUGGCCGGCCUCAAACUCACAGACAUUCUCCUCCUGCAGUCUCCUGAUUGUUGGCAUUAAAAGCCUGAGAUUGGAAUCAUUUCUGAUCUG
rnacentral:lncRNA from 1 species